rnacentral:rRNA from 1 species
GCUUGCUCUGCUGACGACCGGCGCACGGGUGCGUAACGCGUAUACAAUCUGCCCCUUACUAAGGAAUAGCCCAGGGAAACUUGGAUUAAUGCCUUAUAGUAUCGAGAGAUGGCAUCAUUUUUCGAUUAAAGGUUACGGUAAGGGAUGAGUAUGCGUCCUAUUAGCUUGUUGGUGUGGUAACGGCACACCAAGGCAACGAUAGGUAGGGGCCCUGAGAGGGGGAUCCCCCACACUGGUACUGAGACACGGACCAGACUCCUACGGGAGGCAGCAGUGAGGAAUAUUGGACAAUGGGCGAGAGCCUGAUCCAGCCAUGCCGCGUGCAGGAAGACUGCCCUAUGGGUUGUAAACUGCUUUUGUACGGGAAGAAACACCCCCACGUGUGGGGGCUUGACGGUACCGUAAGAAUAAGCAUCGGCUAACUCCGUGCCAGCAGCCGCGGUAAUACGGAGGAUGCAAGCGUUAUCCGGAAUCAUUGGGUUUAAAGGGUCCGUAGGCGGAUAAUUAAGUCAGGGGUGAAAGUCUGCAGCUCAACUGUAGGACUGCCCUUGAUACUGGUUAUCUUGAAUCGUUGUGAAGUGGCUAGAAUAUGUAGUGUAGCGGUGAAAUGCAUAGAUAUUACAUAGAAUACCGAUUGCGAAGGCAGGUCACUAACAACGUAUUGACGCUGAGGGACGAAAGCGUGGGGAGCGAACAGGAUUAGAUACCCUGGUAGUCCACGCCGUAAACGAUGGAUACUAGCUGUCCGGCCUUCGGGCUGGGUGGCCAAGCGAAAGUGAUAAGUAUCCCACCUGGGGAGUACGUUCGCAAGAAUGAAACUCAAAGGAAUUGACGGGGGCCCGCACAAGCGGUGGAGCAUGUGGUUUAAUUCGAUG